rnacentral:rRNA from 1 species
CAAUACUACUGCGGUACCACUUGACAUGCGUGUUUGUGAAGUAAUGGAGGACGAACGGCUCAGUAAGACUGCGAUGAUUUAGUCUAGACGGAAGGGUAACUAUUGGAAACGAUAGCUAAGAGAGUGUAGAAUAAGUUGCAGACCUAUCAGUUAGUUGGUAGUGUAAAGGACUACCAAGACGAUGACGGGAGACGGGAAAUAAGGGUUUUAUUCCGGAGAGGGAGCCUGAGAGAUGGCUCCCACGUCUAAGGACGGCAGCAGGCGCGGAAAUUGCCCACUCAUUGUUGUGGAGGCAGUUAUGAGACGUGAAGACAUCGACAGACUUCAAAAGAGUGUGUCAAAGGAAUUGGAGGGCAAGUUUGGUGCCAGCAGCCGCGGUAAUACCGACUCCAAGAGUGUAUGUGAGAGAUGCUGCAGUUAAAAAGUCCGUAGUCGUGUGGAUCUAAUGAAAUGGUAGCUACAAAGGAUAUCAGAAUUAGGUUUAGUUGUGGAGCAGAUAGGGAAGAUAGUAUAUUUAGGCGAGAGAUGAAAUGUCAAGACCCUAAGUGGACUGAGUGAGGCGAAGGCGAUCUUCUUAGAUGUAUUCGUAGAUAAAGGACGAAGGUUGGAGGAUCGAAAGUGAUUAGAUACCGCAGUAGUUCCAACAGUAAACGAUGCCGUCACGGAGUAUUGAAUUGAUGCGCCGAGGAGAAAUCAUAGAGUACGGGCUCUGGGGAUAGUAUGCUCGCAAGAGUGAAAAUUAAAGAAAUUGACGGAGCUACACCACAAGGAGUGGAUUGUGCGGCUUAAUUUGACUCAACGCGGGACAGCGUACCAGAGGAUCAAUUCUGUCAGGCAG